CGGCUUCGCGCCACUUUCAUUAUCCCCCUACAAUAAUAUCCUUUAAUAAUAUCCCAUCUUUACAGCGGUAGACACAUGUGCUCUCCACUUUUGCAAAUAGAUGUAUUUUUCUAGCCCAUGUUAAAAGUGAACGAAGCAGUUGCUAGGGUUUUUUUUGUGGGGGGGUUGGUUUCCUCUCCACACAUUGAACGCUACCUGGUUACCCUCGCCCCCAAAGACCAUCCCACUGUCCUGAGCCUCCAGCUACCUGGUCACCCUCGCCCCCAAGACCAUCCCACUGUCCUGAGCCUCCAGCUACCUGGUCACCCUCGCCCCCAAGACCAUCCCACUGUCCUGAGCCUCCAGCUACCUGGUCACCCUCGCCCCAAGACCAUCCCACUGUCCUGAGCCUCCAGCUACCUGGUCACCCUCGCCCCCAAGACCAUCCCACUGUCCUGAGCCUCCAGCUACCUGGUCACCCUCGCCCCCAAAGACCAUCCCACUGUCCUGAGCCUCCAGCUACCUGGUCACCCUCGCCCCAAGACCAUCCCACUGUCCUGAACCUCCAGCUACCUGGUCACCCUCGCCCCAAGACCAUCCCACUGUCCUGAGCCUCCAGCUACCUGGUCACCCUCGCCCCAAGACCAUCCCAUUGUCCUCAGCUACCUGGUCACCCUCGCCCCAAGACCAUCCCACUGUCCUGAGCCUCCAGCUACCUGGUCACCCUUGCCCCCAAGACCAUCCCACUGUCCUGAGCCUCCAGCUACCUGGUCACCCUCGCCCCAAGACCAUCCCACUGUCCUGAGCCUCCAGCUACCUGGUCACCCUCGCCCCCAAGACCAUCCCACUGUCCUGAGCCUCCAGCUACCUGGUCACCCUCGCCCCAAGACCAUCCCACUGUCCUGAGCCUCCAGCUACCUGGUCACCCUUGCCCCCAAGACCAUCCCACUGUCCUGAGCCUCCAGCUACCUGGUCACCCUCGCCCCAAGACCAUCCCACUGUCCUGAGCCUCCAGCUACCUGGUCACCCUCGCCCCAAGACCAUCCCACUGUCCUGAGCCUCCAGCUACCUGGUCACCCUCGCCCCAAGACCAUCCCACUGUCCUGAGCCUCCAGCUACCUGGUCACCCUCGCCCCAAGACCAUCCCACCUUCCUGAGCCUCCAGCUACCUGGUCACCCUCGCCCCCAAAGACCAUCCCACUGUCCUGAGCCUCCAGCUACCUGGUCACCCUCGCCCCAAGACCAUCCCACUGUCCUGAGCCUCCAGCUACCUGGUCACCCUCGCCCCAAGACCAUCCCACUGUCCUGAGCCUCCAGCUACCUGGUCACCCUCGCCCCAAGACCAUCCCACCUUCCUGAGCCUCCAGCUACCUGGUCACCCUCGCCCCCAAGACCAUCCCACUGUCCUGAGCCUCCAGCUACCUGGUCACCCUCGCCCCCAAGACCAUCCCACUGUCCUGAGCCUCCAGCUACCUGGUCACCCUCGCCCCCAAGACCAUCCCACUGUCCUGAGCCUCCAGCUACCUGGUCACCCUUGCCCCCAAGACCAUCCCACUGUCCUGAGCCUCCAGCUACCUGGUCACCCUCGCCCCAAGACCAUCCCACUGUCCUGAGCCUCCAGCUACCUGGUCACCCUCGCCCCCAAGACCAUCCCACUGUCCUCAGCAACCUGGUCACCCUCGCCCCAAGACCAUCCCACUGUCCUCAAAUACCUGGCCACCCUCGCCCCAAGACCAUCCCACUGUCCUGAGCCUCCAGCUACCUGGUCACCCUCGCCCCAAGACCAUCCCACUGUCCUCAGCUACCUGGUCACCCUCGCCCCCAAAAGCAUCCCACUGUCCUGAGCCUCCAGCCUCUGUACCCAGCCUGUCUCCAAUCAGACCAAACAGUUUACUGGAUUUAGUUUCAGCAGUGUUAAAGUGCUUAUAGUGCAGGUAGUAUAUUAUCUACAUCUACUGCAAUGUGAGCACUUCCAGUAUUGCUGUCUAUGUUGCAGCGCCCCCAUCCCUCGACAUGGAAGGAAUCCUCUCCGAACCCAACAAACCAACUCAAAACCCCACACAUCGAAUCAUCGCUGUUCCUCGGUCAGUUUUGCUGCUUUGCAUCCCGCUUAAACAAAAGUUUGCUGUGCAAAUCCAUGCAAAACUGACUGAGCAGUGACUCGACCUUCAGUCAAGAUGAACUAACUGUUUUAUUAAAGUCGUUCUGUGCCGGUCUAAUAAUAAUUAUUAUAAUAAUAAUAAUAAUAAUAAUAAUAAUAAUAAUAAUAAUAAUAAUAAUAAUAAUAAUAAUAAUAAUGUGUUUUUUUAUGUGGCAGUUUUCAGACUAUCGAAUGGUGUUUUCUAGAACUAUUCUGUAGUGGUCUCUGUUCUGCAUCACUUUUCACAUUACUCAAAAGACGAUUGACUGGUGGUAAUGUAACCGUUUACUGUACAAGUCCCAAUCAGGUUGGGUUGGAACUGUAGAAGCCAGUCCCAAUCAGGUUGGGUUGUGACUGUAGAAGCCUGUCCUGGUUGGGUUGUAACUGUAGUAGCCAGUCCCAAUCAGGUUGGGUUGGAACUGUAGAAGCCAGUCCCAAUCAGGUUGGGUUGUGACUGUAGAAGCCUGUCCUGGUUGGGUUGUAACUGUAGUAGCCAGUCCCAAUCAGGUUGGGUUGGAACUGUAGAAGCCAUUCCCUGUCCAGGUUGGGUUGGAACUGUAGUAGCCAGUCCCAAUC
rnacentral:lncRNA from 1 species